UACGUAGGUGGCAAGCGUUGUCCGGAAUUACUGGGCGUAAGCGUGCGCAGGCGGUUUUGUAAGUCUGUCGUGAAAUCCCCGGGCUUAACCUGGGAAUGGCGAUGGAGACUGCAAGGCUAGAGUUUGGCAGAGGGGGGUAGAAUUCCACGUGUAGCAGUGAAAUGCGUAGAGAUGUGGAGGAACACCGAUGGCGAAGGCAAUCUCCUGGGCCUGCACUGACGCUCAUGCACGAA
rnacentral:rRNA from 1 species